rnacentral:misc_RNA from 1 species
CAACACUUCAAAGCCUUCUGAUUGUAUAGAUUGAUUUAACUUCACACAUAGAAGCGCCGCAAUAAGAAAGAACUAGUAUUAUGGUGCAUGUUUAAUACUAGUACAACCAAAACUAGAAGCGAUGAGACAUUUCAAUCCAAAAAAGCAUGUGAAUAAUGUGAGAACUUGCCCAAAUACACAUCAUCAUUUAAUCAAUAUCAAGCUUCAUGGGUUUGAUGAAGUUGAUGCUCCAGACCCUGCAGGUGGGGGUCCAGAGCUUGCAGAUGCUGGAGGUGCAGGCCUUGGUGGAGGGACAGAAUGCUGGUGCUGUUGUGUGGCUUGUGGAGCCUGUGGCGGGGGAACAGCUGAGUGAUAUGAUGAUGAUGGUGGAGGAUACUGCUGAUAAGGUGGCAUCAGCGGCACAUACCCAUAUGAAGGAUAAAGUUGUUGGUGAUAUUGCCCGUGUGGCAGUGGCAUACCCUGAUAAGGAUAGUGCUGCCCUUGCUGCCUCUCCAGUGUAUUUUUAUUCUCCCCAGAUCCCGUUGGCCCCCCAUCUUGGGAUGGAGGAAGGGCUCCCAUUCUUUGAGGAUCCAUUGAUGGAUAAAAGGUUCUUUCCUGAUGAGGUGGGGGUGGAAUAUUGAAGUAAUGCAUUGAUGGAGGUUGGACCUGAGUUCCAGGAGGGUGUAAUUGAUUCUGCUGCUGAGAUAUAACUGCCCGAGGCAACAUCCCACCAUGAGCCAUCGAUGCCUGUUGCCUUGCUUCUUCUGAAGCUUCAGACUCAGGUUUUGGUGCUUGGGGUCUUCCCCACAUCAGCUUCAGUCUCAGACCCUUGAUAACUAACUUAUUGGAGAGCUCUUCUGCAGCCUUCUCUGCACCUUCUCUGGUUGUGUACGUUACAAAUGCAAUUGCUCGCUGAGGCACCAUUUUAAUGGACUCGAUCUCACCAUGAGCAUAAAAGUUAUCCCUCAGAUCCUGCUCCGUAAUCCUUGCAUCAAGCCCACCCACAUAGAGGGUUUUAAUGCUUUCAUCCUCAGGCGGUUCCAGGGAGGGCAUUUCACCAGCCUUGUUAAGUAGCUUCAGUGCCACUGGGUCAUUCACUCCAUAAUAACGAUCUUUUAUGUUUUGCUGUGAUAACUCCCCAGUUACGGGCAUCUCAUGCCUAUAAGGACACUCGGCACCUCGUGUGCAUUCACCCCGUACGUAGAAACUACAAACAUGUGCUCGGUUCCUUUUGUAGUAUGGUGUUGUCCUUUGAAGCUUUAGAAUAGUGUCAUUUGGCCGGACCUUUCCAUAUGAAGAUUCAUAAUCUAUACCAGCUCUGGCCCUGCGGUCAUGCUCCUCGGCAAAGUACUCCCUGUUGACAUCACUCUUUGGAAUGGCAUCAUUGGAAUUGAUACUGAGAGCAGUAUCUCGAACCUGAACUGGCAACCCAUAUUCUAGAUCCAAAAGACAGACUUGACAAACAUUUUUCAACUUGCUGCAAGUUUGGCAAAUCUCAGACUUCUUAAAUCUUGCAUCCCGACCAGGCCUCCACCUAAAAACUGUAAAUGGCCGUGUACAUAUCUUGCAUUCCUUAUCAAAUUCAGCUCUAGUCUACAUCCCAAUGCAUACAACCACAACAACAAUGUAACAAAAAUUCAUCAUGACAACAUACUAAAACAUAGAAUACUCUGAAGCUUGCUACAAGAAGGGUUAUACAUACCAUACGAACAUAAGGAUUGUCACCAAGGCAAGACUCACAGAUGAUAGGAAAAUCAGAACGCUCCCAACCAUCUGCCUCAAGAUCUCUUAACAAUCGGUGUGCCAUUUCCUCUUGAGCCCUAGCUUAGGUUAAAUCUUCACUAUGCCUAUUCCUUUAAUUUAUCCGAAUCCGAACUGAAAGUUCUAAUUUGUUAGUUAGGGUUCAGCUGACUCUCUAAGAUGCUGGGAUAAGGUGAGAAAUGACUAAUUAACCAAUUUGGGGAGAAAGAAAUUUAGGGUUAGUAUUUUUAGUUUGCGAGCUCCCAGUUUGGAAGUCG